rnacentral:misc_RNA from 1 species
CACAUCGUCGCCAAAGAUUAUAGUACACUGAGCAAAUUACAUUAUCUGGUUUCUGGAAGAGCUAGGGCUAACCUAUGAA